GGCCGCCUGGCGAAAUGGCAUCGCGUCUGACUACGAGAUCACGUGAUCAUGUGAUUGCAUCACGUGAUAGAGAUCAGGAGAUUGCAGGUUCGACCCCUGCGGUGGUCA